GGGUAUUCUGAGUGCUUUUUGUUUCCAGAAGGUGGUCUGAUUCCGUAAACUUUUUUUGUUGCAAUUAUGUGAACUUUUGUGCAUUGUAGGAACCCUGCACCAUUUUAGUCCAUGAAAUGGCUGUUUUCCUUCUGCGGUUCUGCCUAAUGAUAUAUCUAAAAUAACAAAAGGCAUUGCAUCCUUUAAUCAUGCAAGGCCCUGUAGCUCUUGAAGCUCAUUAGGCUGCAACAGAAGCUUGGAUCUUGGGAGAGGA
rnacentral:lncRNA from 1 species